rnacentral:rRNA from 1 species
UGGGGAAUAUUGCACAAUGGGGGAAACCCUGAUGCAGCAACGCCGCGUGAGUGAUGAAGGCCUUCGGGUUGUAAAGCUCUGUCUUUGCGGACGAUAAUGACGGUACCCAAGGAGGAAGCCACGGCUAACUACGUGCCAGCAGCCGCGGUAAUACGUAGGUGGCAAGCGUUGUCCGGAUUUACUGGGCGUAAAGGGAGCGUAGGUGGAUAUUUAAGUGGGAUGUGAAAUCCCCGGGCUUAACCUGGGGGCUGCAUUCCAAACUGGAUGUCUAGAGUGCAGGAGAGGAGAGUGGAAUUCCUAGUGUAGCGGUGAAAUGCGUAGAGAUUAGGAAGAACACCAGUGGCGAAGGCGACUCUCUGGACUGUAACUGACACUGAGGCUCGAAAGCGUGGGGAGCAAACA